rnacentral:rRNA from 1 species
UACGUAGGGAGCAAGCGUUAUCCGGAUUUAUUGGGUGUAAAGGGUGCGUAGACGGGAAGGCAAGUUGGUUGUGAAAUCCCUCGGCUUAACUGAGGAACUGCAACCAAAACUAUCUUACUUGAGUGCAGGAGAGGAGAGUGGAAUUCCAUGUGUAGCGGUGAAAUGCGUAGAUAUAUGGAGGAACACCGGUGGCGAAAGCGGCUCUCUGGCCUGUAACUGACACCGAGGCUCGAAAGCGUGGGGAGCAAACAGG